rnacentral:tRNA from 1 species
GUCAGAAUGGCCGAGCGGUCUAAGGCGCCAGACUCAAGGUUGUGCACCUUCUCCAAAACAGAGAGAUUUCUGGUCUCCGAAUGGAGGUGUGGGUUCAAAUCCCACUUCUGACA